rnacentral:misc_RNA from 1 species
AAGUCGUAACAAGGUUUCCGUAGGUGAACCUGCGGAAGGAUCAUUAAUAAUCUUUGAUCCAUAUAAUGGAUCGGAUCAAAAUCCAUCUUGUGUGCACUGAUUGAAACCAAUAUGCUUUUGGCAGUGCAGCGUCUGGAUUUUUUUUUUCUCGACCUGCCUGCCAAAAGUUUUUUUCAGUCUAACCAAUCCGCAAUUCCUUCCAACCUUUUUUUUUUGGCCUGAAAAUUCGUUUAUAUAUUAAAUAAAAAAAAACAACCUUCAACAACGGAUCUCUUGGCUCUC